rnacentral:rRNA from 1 species
UACGAAGGGGGCUAGCGUUGCUCGGAAUCACUGGGCGUAAAGGGCGCGUAGGCGGCCGGCCAAGUCGGGGGUGAAAUCCCGAGGCUCAACCUCGGAACUGCCUUCGAUACUGGCGAUCUUCGAGUCCGGGAGAGGUGAGUGGAACUCCGAGUGUAGAGGUGAAAUUCGUAGAUAUUCGGAAGAACACCAGUGGCGAAGGCGGCUCACUGGCCCGGUACUGACGCUGAGAUACGAAAGCGUGGGGAGCAAACAGG